rnacentral:rRNA from 1 species
AGAGUUUGAUCCUGGCUCAGGACGAACGCUGGCGGCGUGCUUAACACAUGCAAGUCGAGCGGAGAUAUUUAGCAAUAGAUAUCUUAGCGGCGGACGGGUGAGUAACGCGUGGGCAAUCUGCCUCAUACAGGGGGAUAACACUGGGAAACUAGUGCUAAUACCGCAUAACACAGUUGAGUGGCAUCAUUUGACUGUCAAAGGAGUAAUCCGGUGUGAGAUGAGCCCGCGUCCGAUUAGCUAGUUGGAGGUGUAACGGACCACCAAGGCGACGAUCGGUAGCCGAACUGAGAGGUUGAUCGGCCACAUUGGGACUGAGACACGGCCCAGACUCCUACGGGAGGCAGCAGUGGGGAAUAUUGCACAAUGGAGGAAACUCUGAUGCAGCAACGCCGCGUGAAGGAUGAAGGUUUUCGG